rnacentral:rRNA from 1 species
AGCAGUAGCCGCGGUAAUACGGAGGGGGCUAGCGUUGUUCGGAAUUACUGGGCGUAAAGCGCACGUAGGCGGCUUUGUAAGUUAGAGGUGAAAGCCUGGUGCUCAACACCAGAACUGCCUUUAAGACUGCAUCGCUUGAACGUCGGAGAGGUGAGUGGAAUUCCGAGUGUAGAGGUGAAAUUCGUAGAUAUUCGGAAGAACACCAGUGGCGAAGGCGGCUCACUGGACGACUGUUGACGCUGAGGUACGAAAGCGUGGGGAGCAAACAGGAUUAGAUACCCCAGUAGUCCCUGUCUCUUAUAU